CAAGUUGUCUCUUUGAGGUUUAUGGCCAUGACAGAGAAAGGGAACAGUAAGACAGACAUUUACAGCAGUCUUUGUGCUGACAAGCAGCAAGGAGCAAAGCUUCAGAUUUGCUCUUUUCAGCUCAAGUCAUCCAAUGCCUGGGGAGAUCUGCAGCCAAGGAAAAGCCUAUAACAGGUACUGCUACACAACACUCUGGAGAGUCAGCAAAAUACAAGUUGAACUUGAAAAACAACUGAACAAGUAGAGAGGGAAUGUUCUGACAUUGGAACAAUACAGAGAAAAAUAUGCACACGCAUUAUGAACAAGAUCUGCCAUUCUAUACUGACAUAAAAGAAGCACUUCCCAGAAGCCUGAAACCUAGAAAAUGCAUUAAGGUUUAUCCUCCACAUCAACUGGAAGAUGAAAUCUCAGAAGUGGACACGUCUUUAAGCACUCUUUUUGGUGCCUGUGUAGUCUGCCUUCUGGAAGUUAGGAAAGAAGACAUGAACAUGAGACUGUGGAGUGCUUGGCUGCUGGACAGGGCCAAUACACCAUGCUUAUCCAAAUGCUUACCAAGUUUAUUCCAAGUUAGGAUCCUACCAGUCAUCUAAUGAAGAGCUUCUGUCUGUUAUACAUCAUGUAGGUGGUACUAGGAAGUUUUAGGUUAAAUAUCACACAAUGCUUACGCUUACAUACAUUUCAUCUCAAUACAGCUUUAAGUGCAGAAUGGCCGUCAAAGCUUGUCAUAACAAUUCAAAUUGAGAAGAAGGGGUUAAAAUACAAAUAAACUUGUCAUACUAGACUAAAAAUGAAAAUAAUUUAAGAUAGCAAAGAAAUAAAAACUGCAUUCAGUAUUGCCAUCAAAUCAUCAAAACUGUCUGAAGAGAUAAACAGCAUCAGGUGAGAAAUAGUUCUCUAAUGAAAACGUGUCAAAAAUAUAUGACAUUUCAUCACAUUCUUUCAAAAAAUCUGCUAAAAAGAGCUGCAGUACAAACCACCAUCUGUUGUAACAUUCAUGGCAUCAAAGUUCAGUCUUCUGAUAAUAAUUUUUUAAUAUCAUCUUUUAAAAAGCAAUUUAGCCAUUAUUGUACCUUAAACACAGUUAAAUACUCUGCUGUUCUUUUAUGUCCUUGAUAGCUUCAAGCUGUAAAAAAGGGAAAAAAAAAAAAAAAGAAAAAAAAAGAUUUUAUUUCACUUAAAUAAAAAUACAAAAUUAGCUUAGGAAAGAUAUCCUUCCACACUGUUUUGGUAAGACAUAAAGUGGUUAGUUUGAAUGUGAC
ensembl:lncRNA